UGAAUACGAGAUGCUACGGCGUCGAAGCAGUCUAUGUCAUACUUCCAAGAAAAGCUUGCACUGUCAUAAACAAAUAAUGCCUGUACCAUAACCGACACAGGUGGGUAGGUAGAGUAUACUAAGGGGCGCGAGAUAACUCUCUCUAAGGAACUCGGCAAAAUGACUCCGUAACUUCGGGAGAAGGAGUGCCUUAUUUUAUAAGGUUGCAAUAACAAGAUCCAAGCAACUGUUUACCAAAAACACAGGUCUCCGCUAAGUCGUAAGACGAUGUAUGGGGGCUGACGCCUGCCCAGUGCCAGAAGGUUAAAGAAGUUGGUUAGCAUCCGCGAAGCUGAUAACUGAAGCCCUGGUGAACGGCGGCCGUAACUAUAACGGUCCUAAGGUAGCGAAAUUCCUUGUCGGGUAAGUUCCGACCCGCACGAAAGGCGUAAUGAUUCGGAUACUGUCUCAGAGAGGGGCUCGGUGAAAUAGACUUGUCUGUGAAGAUGCGGACUACCUGCACCAGGACAGAAAGACCCUAUGAAGCUUUACUGUAACUUGAAAUUGAAAUUGGACUUUACUUGCGCAGUAUAGGUGGGAGGCGUUGAGAAUAUUCUUGCGGGAAUGUUGGAGCCAUCAGUGAGAUACCACUCUUGUAAUGUUAGAUUUCUAACUUUGUAUCAUUAUCUGGUCAAAGGACAGUUUCAGGCGGGCAGUUUGACUGGGGCGGUCGCCUCCCAAACGGUAACGGAGGCGCACAAAGGUUUCCUCUGAACGGGUAGAAAUCGUAUCUAGAGUGUAAAGGCAUAAGGAAGCUUGACUGUGAGACCUACAAGUCGAGCAGGGACGAAAGUCGGUCUUAGUGAUCUGACGGUGCUGAGUGGAAAGGCCGUCACUCAACGGAUAAAAGUUACUCUAGGAUAACAGGCUGAUCUCCCCCAAGAGUUCACAUCGACGGGGAGGUUUGGCACCUCGAUGUCGGCUCAUCGCAUCCUGGGGCGGUAGUACGUCCCAAGGGUUGGGCUGUUCGCCCAUGAAAGCGGUACGCGAGCUGGGUUCAGAACGUCGUGAGACAGUUCGGUCCAUAUCCGGUGUAGGCGUUAGAAUAUUGAGAGGAGCCUUCUUUAGUACGAGAGGACCGAGAAGGACAUACCUCUGGUGUACCAGUUAUCGUGCCAACGGUAAACGCUGGGUAGCUAUGUAUGGAGUGGAUAACCGCUGAAAGCAUCUAAGUGGGAAGCCCACCUCAAGAUGAGUGCUCUCACAGGGUUAACCUGGUAAGGUCACGGGAAGACCACCCGUUAAUAGGCACUAGGUGGAAGUCCAGUAAUGGAUGGAGCCAAGGUGUACUAACAGACCGAGGGCUUG
rnacentral:rRNA from 1 species